rnacentral:rRNA from 1 species
GAAAGACCCCGUGCACCUUUACUAUAGCUUUGCAGUGGCAUUAGAAAAUGACUGUGUAGGAUAGGUGGGAGGCUAUGAACCCAGGGCGCCAGCUCUGGUGGAGCCAACCUUGAAAUACCACCCUUUUGCUUUCUGAUGUCUAACCGCGACCCGUGAAACCGGGUCCGGGACCCUGCAUGGUGGGUAGUUUGACUGGGGCGGUCGC